UACGGAGGGGGCAAUCGAUGUUCGGAAUUACUGGGCGUAAAGGGCGCGUAGGCGGACCUUCAAGUCAGGGGUGAAAGGCCUGGGCUCAACCUGGGAACUGCCUUUGAAACUGGAGGUCUUGAGUCCGGGAGAGGAUGGCGGAAUUCCCAGUGUAGAGGUGAAAUUCGUAGAUAUUGGGAAGAACACCGGUGGCGAAGGCGGCCAUCUGGUCCGGCACUGACGCUGAGGCGCGAAAGCGUGGGGAGAAAACAGG
rnacentral:rRNA from 1 species